rnacentral:lncRNA from 1 species
GUCUUAAUGGGGUUUAAACGAAUAUAUGUAUUUGUCAUAAGAAGACAAUAGGUUUGGCAUGUUGACAUUGAGCAUAUAAACUAUUUUUAUAAGACAAGAGGAGUGAGCAGGUGGAGAUGUUGUUGCCGCUUUUGUGUCUGUUGGGAUUGUCUCUUGUAUCUUCUGCUGUGGCUGUGUUUGUUUCUCUUUUAUUUGAUGGGUAAUAUGUAAACAAAAAUCAUUGUUAGUUGUAUUUAUCAGAGUUUGUAACUUACUCUACUUUUUUGUUUAGGUAAUUUCAGUGAUAUUGGUUGUCGUCUUCGUCUUCUUCGUAAGCAUCUGUGAAAAUAAGUUUGUAAAUUGUUAAAUAUUUGGUUGUGUAGUUUAUAUUUGUUUAGCUGGCUCAAUGUAUGUGUCGUUGAGUUUUAGUUGAGUUGAUUGGUUUGGUAUAUUUGUUUUGAAGUUUAUUUGUAAGAUUAGACAAAAAGAGAGGUGAUCAUUAAUGAUUCGUCUUUUUGGGGAUUCUAGUUUUUGGUGUUUUGAUUGUUUGGGCUAUUGUGGUUUCUUUUAAACAGUAAAAUAAA